rnacentral:ncRNA from 1 species
CGGGAUACGUCCCGUAAGGAAUGUAGCCUGAAAAAUAGGCUGAACCUUGGA